AUUGAACGCUGGCGGCAGGCCUAACACAUGCAAGUCGCGCGAGCGGCGGACGGGUGAGGAAUGUCUGGGAAACUGCCUGAUGGAGGGGGAUAACUACUGGAAAAGGUCGCUAAUACCGCAUACCAUCAGAUGUGCCCAGAUGGGAUUAGCUAGUAGGUGGGGUAAUGGCUCACCUAGGCGAUGAUCCCUAGCUGGUCUGAGAGGAUGACCAGCAACACUGGAACUGUGACACGGUCCAUACUCCUACGGGAGGCACCAGUGGGGAAUAUGGCACAAUGGGCGCAAGCCUGAUGCAGCCAUGCCGCGUGUGUGAAGAAGGCCUUCGGGUUGUAAAGCACGUUCAGCGGGGAGGCGUUACCCGCAGAAGAAGCACCGGCUAACUCCGUGCCAGCAGCCGCGGUAAUUC
rnacentral:rRNA from 1 species